rnacentral:lncRNA from 14 species
CAGCAGAACAUGAAGGCGUUUGUGGGGGGAUGCCUUUCUCUUUUUAUUAAUUCAGUUGUUUUGUAGCUAGGCCACUUGAGUGGAGGGCUGGAACAAUGUGGCCUUCAAUCCUCUCAGCUAGAAGAGAGAAUUAAAAGUAGGUCUGCAGCAUUCAGGCUGAAUGUUAAACCACUGAACAAUUGAAGGAGGGAGGGUGGAACCAUCACAAGCGGCUGUGUUUCUAAUUGUGAUUCUUUUCCCCCCCUUUUUUUUGGCAAAUGAAGGAUCUUGGGCAAUGAUCCCAGCAGAAGGGAUUAAAGCAAUCAGUUCUACCUGAAGAAAGAUUCUUUCCUGCUCUUCAAGGUGGGGCAGAGAACAGCAGCACCGUUACAACUGUAUUUGGUGAAGUCCUACUACAUGGUAGACCUACGGCAAAGAAGUCAUCAAACUUGACUGAAAUGGUGAGGAAUAUACUGCAAAACUGCUAAACUGCUUCUCUUACUGGAAGAUGACUGUAGGCCACCUAAACUGCAGAGGAGGAUAAACUGUUGCCAUGGAGUGCUGGUUACAACUGCCUGAUUAUCAGAAACCCUACCUCGUAGCAACUAGAGCCAAAUUAGGAGCAUCCUGUGGGAGGAUUCAUCUGUCCCUACCUCAGAUCCUGGCAGAAGUAGAAUGGGUAUGGCAAGUCAUGAAAGUGAACUGGCUCUGGCUGCACAUCUGUGAUUCCAUCAGUGUCAAGGCAUUGAUCCAGUGGCUCAUUCUCUGAUGUGUAGUCUAUGAAAAUGUUCCUGAGAGCAAGAAUUCCUGACUGUUAAAUCCUUCCUGUUGGAAAGGCAGAAGUAGGUGUUCCUCCAAGCCUACUAUGAGCAUAUCUUUAGUUGAAAUACAGUCACUCAGUCCUUUUCCUAGUCGCAUUUUCAAAUGGGUCAAGAAGCAUGUUGGAGCAGGAAUAAGUUUCUUUCUUUGUAACAAGAACCUUAAAACAUACAAAUAGUUAUUUAGAUCUGUUCCCUAAGAAACAGAUACUUUCAUGAAUGCUUCAAGGACAAUCCUACUUCUUUUCUGGUUUUUAUUCUAAAAUGACAAUACUGGGACAUAUAUAACUAAUGCUUCCCUGUAUCAGUAACUCCAACUUAAACAACAUAUAAACACAGAAUUAAAAAUCCAACAUAAGUGAUACUUAAUAGACUAAGUCCACUAUAAGCACUACUGAUUUCUGCAAAAGCUACUUUCCAACCCUGCAGGUAGGUCCACUUUCCUGAUCUGAUGUCCUCAAACCCUUCCUAGCAUUACUCCAUAGGUAUGUCACUGACUGAACCCAACCCCUGAAGUCUCAAAGCAGAAACCUUUAAGCAGGCUCUUCCUCCAGCAUGUUCACUGGGACAACUGGAGGUCAGCUCUGAACAUCCCUAAGCUACACGUCAUGCUCACAAAAGGCAAAACAAGACCUUUCUCCC